AUUGAACGCUGGCGGCAGGCCUAACACAUGCAAGUCGAGCGGAUGAAGGGAGCUUGCUCCUGGAUUCAGCGGCGGACGGGUGAGUAAUGCCUAGGAAUCUGCCUGGUAGUGGGGGAUAACGCCCGGAAACGGGCGCUAAUACCGCGUACGUCCUGAGGGAGAAAGUGGGGGAUCUUCGGACCUCACGCUAUCAGAUGAGCCUAGGUCGGAUUAGCUAGUUGGUGGGGUAAAGGACUACCAAGGCGACGAUCCGUAACUGGUCUGAGAGGAUGAUCAGUCACACUGGAACUGAGACACGGUCCAGACUCCUACGGGAGGCAGCAGUGGGGAAUAUUGGACAAUGGGCGAAAGCCUGAUCCAGCCAUGCCGCGUGUGUGAAGAAGGUCUUCGGAUUUUAAAGCACUUUAAGUUGGGAGGAAGGGCAGUAAGUUAAUACCUUGCUGUUUUGACGUUACCAACAGAAUAAGCACCGGCUAACUUCGUG
rnacentral:rRNA from 1 species